rnacentral:rRNA from 1 species
GCAUAUCAAUAAGCGGAGGAAAAGAAACUAACAAGGAUUCCCCUAGUAACGGCGAGUGAAGCGGGAAGAGCUCAAAUUUGUAAUCUGGCACUUUCAGUGUCCGAGUUGUAAUCUCGAGAAGUAUUUUCCGCGCCGGACCGCAUACAAGUCUGUUGGAAUACAGCGUCAUAGUGGUGAGAACCCCGUAACUGAUGCGGAUGCCCGGUGCUUUGUGAUAUACUUUCGAAGAGUCGAGUUGUUUGGGAAUGCAGCUCAAAUUGGGUGGUAAAUUCCAUCUAAAGCUAAAUAUUGGAGCAAGACCGAUAGCGAACAAGUACCGUGAGGGAAAGAUGAAAAGCACUUUGGAAAGAGAGUUAACAGUACGUGAAAUUGUUGGAAGGGAAACGCUUGAAGUCAGACUUGCUAUUCGGAGUUCAGCCGCAAGGUGUAUUCUUCGAUUUGCAGGCCAGCAUCAGUUUUUGGGGGUGGAAAAUCGUGGUUUGAAGGUAGCAGUUUCGGCUGUGUUAUAGCUUUCCACUGGAUUCAUCUUCGGGGACUGAGGAACGCAGUACGCUUUUUGCAAGGCUCUCGAGCUUUUCGUACUUAGGAUGCUGGUGGAAUGGCUUUAAACGACCCGUCUUGAAACACGGACCAAGGAGUCUAACAUGCUUGCGAGUGUUUGGGUGUCAAACCCGGACGCGCAAUGAAAGUGAAUGGAGGUGGGAUCCGCAAGGUGCACCAUCGACCGAUCUGGAUUUUCUAAGAUGGAUUUGAGUAAGAGCAAUUAUGUUGGGACCCGAAAGAUGGUGAACUAUGCCUGAAUAGGGCGAAGCCAGAGGAAACUCUGGUGGAGGCUCGUAGCGGUUCUGACGUGCAAAUCGAUCGUCAAAUUUGGGUAUAGGGGCGAAAGACUAAUCGAACCAUCUAGUAGCUGGUUCCUGCGA